rnacentral:lncRNA from 1 species
GGCGUAGGGCGAGCCGGUGGGGUUGGAGUUGGCCACGGGCCCCGCCACGUUGGCGUAGCUGAUGUUGAGGCAGCUGCUGCUCUGCGGGUCUUCCUGUACCUUCUGCACGAUGGCGCUCACGGCCUUGUGCACCUGCUCCGGCUCGCCGCUCACGGUCACCACGCGCUCUUGCAGGUUGAUGCCCUCGGGCUUCUGCGACAGCUGCACCCACGCGCCGGACUGUUCCAUCACCGCCUUCACGGUCGCUCCUCCCUUACCGAUGAUCAGUCCUGCCGUGCUGUUGGGGACGAUGAGCUUGGCCUGCGUGGGGGGAGAAAGAGACAGAGUCUGCGCGGGGGAGAACGGGGCGCGCAGCCGUCUCAAAUCACUUCUGCGGGUUUUUUGUUUGUUUGUUUUUUGUUUUGUCUUUCCUCUAGGGUCCAUCAGCAGGCCCACUGCGGUACUCUGAUGAACGCCAUGACAGCCUUACUAGUUCCUAAAAGAAAAUUUGGAAAUACUUGGCGGGGCGUGGUGUGCUACAUGCAGAAGGAUGUCAAAUUUGAGCCCAGGCUGGCUUCAGGCUGAGGCUGGAAGAUUGUAAGUUCAAGACCAGACUGCACAACACAAUGAGUUCUGAGCUAGCCUGGCCUACACUGUAAGACUUAAUUUUUUUAAAAAAAGCUCCAAACCAAAAAUAGUCUGGGGAAUCACUCUGGACCAUAGCUUUAUUGCUUUGUGGAGUCUGGGUGUGAACUGUGAUAACAUCAUUACUUUCUAGUACUGGGAUAUCGAACUGGAGUUGGAGGCAGCUGAUAGAUGCCAGGCGGGUGCCAGGAACUGAACCCAAGUCCUUCAGAACAGAGACGAGCUCUGAAGAGCCAACUGUCUGGGCCGAAGGAGCUAUGUUUGAAUUUCCAGCACUUACGUAAAAAGCCAGACAUAGCUAUAUGUGCUGUAAUCCUAGCACUGAGGCCGACUGACAGACCCCAGGAGCUUUCUGGACAGUCGUCCUAGCCUCUGAGCUGCUGGCUUUGGUAAGACAUCCUAAAGUCAGUGAAACGGAGAGCAAUGGGGGGAGGGGGGGGUACCACUUUUUCUGCUAUGGCCUUCGCAUGCUUCUCACCUCACAUCAAAGGAAAAGUAGAUUAGUGGCUGCCAGAGAUGGGAGAUAGGACUUGGGGUGACUGCUAGCAGGAAUAGUAGAAAUAUCCUAGAAUUCAAUGGUAGCUCUGGCUGGCCACAGAAUCUUCUA